UUGUGGUAGAAGCAACCGGAGGCGGUAAUUAAAAGGGAGCAGGGCAGGGCAGGGAAGGGCAGGGCACACAGAGUAUGUAUGCUAGAAUAAAUGCCCGAUGCCAGGGAGAAUUUAUAUUAAUGAUGGUGAUCAACCAGGUCCCUCCCUGGGCAGGUUCUUAGACGUAUACAACAUCGACGUAUCUGUGAUGAAAACAAUUCCUCCAUUCGGGUAACAGCAGAUACAAACGCAGACGAAGUAUACGGCAGCGGCAACAAGGAUCAUUUUGGUGCCAAGGGAAGGGAGCACC
rnacentral:sRNA from 2 species